CCGCUCGCUGUUCCUCACUCUCUUUUCGCGCGCGCCACGUGGAUGUUCGCUCUUUGUCUGCUACAUAAGCGAGCUCAACGCGAUUAAAACAUGUGCGUAACGAAUUACACGCGAGGAGGCGAGCGCAGCGCGUGCAGACCACCGUGAUAAAUGUUGGAUAUAAUGUGACUAGAUCGUGAUUAUCUUCUGGAUGGUUUACUGUGCGAUCAUUAAUCGCAGUUCACGGAAAUGGUGAGCAUCUGAUUCUGAACGCUGCUUCAUCAGCACUGAUCAGAUCGAGCAGAAACCACCAUGAAGUCUCUUGAUUCAGCUGGAUGGAGAGCUAAAUGCUCCAUGGUGACCGUGAUGAAUUCUGGAGAUUGACGUCAGACCAUGAAGUGUCUUUUUACAAGAUUUAUUAAAUAAAACGUAUGAAAAUGA